rnacentral:rRNA from 1 species
AGAGUUUGAUCCUGGCUCAGGACGAACGCUGGCGGCGUGCUUAACACAUGCAAGUCGAACGGAAAGCGCUCUUCGGAGUGACUCGAGUGGCGAACGGGUGAGUAACACGUGGGUGAUCUGCCCUGCACUUUGGGAUAAGCCUGGGAAACUGGGUCUAAUACCGGAUAGGACUACGCGAUGCAUGUCGUGUGGUGGAAAGCUUUUGCGGUGUGGGAUGGGCCCGCGGCCUAUCAGCUUGUUGGUGGGGUGAUGGCCUACCAAGGCGACGACGGGUAGCCGGCCUGAGAGGGUGUCCGGCCACACUGGGACUGAGAUACGGCCCAGACUCCUACGGGAGGCAGCAGUGGGGAAUAUUGCACAAUGGGCGCAAGCCUGAUGCAGCGACGCCGCGUGAGGGAUGACGGCCUUCGGGUUGUAAACCUCUUUCAACAGGGACGAAGCGCGAGUGACGGUACCUGUAGAAGAAGCACCGGCCAACUACGUGCCAGCAGCCGCGGUAAUACGUAGGGUGCGAGCGUUGUCCGGAAUUACUGGGCGCAAAGAGCUCGUAGGUGGUUUGUCGCGUUGUUCGUGAAAACUCACAGCUUAACUGUGGGCGUGCGGGCGAUACGGGCAGACUGGAGUACUGCAGGGGAGACUGGAAUUCCUGGUGUAGCGGUGGAAUGCGCAGAUAUCAGGAGGAACGCCGGUGGCGAAGGCGGGUCUCUGGGCAGUAACUGACGCUGAGGAGCGAAAGCGUGGGGAGCGAACAGGAUUAGAUACCCUGGUAGUCC